UCUUCAUCAUCAAGCUUUUGUUUUUGCUUCUGUUUUUCAUUUUUCAAACACAAAAACUUUGUUUUGCUCCUUGCUGUUAAUCGAAAAUUCCAACACCCUUGACUUGAGCUGCAGUUGGCUUUUUGGCAACUUCCCUUAAAUAACAGUCUCUUCCUUCUUCCUCACCUUCAAAAACUCAAUCUUGCCUUCAAUAAUUUUAAUCAGUCAAAAAUUCCAUCUGAGUUUGGUCGAUUUACAGGCCUACUCUACCUCAACCUUUCUCAUACAGGGUUUGUAGGAGUAGUCCCAUCGCAAGUCUCCCACCUGUCAAAGUUGGUCUCGCUUGAUCUCUCUUGGAUUGAUGAACAAUUAACAAUUGACAAAUAUGCUCUGGAGGGACUUGUUCACAACCUAACCGAGAUCCAUAUUUUUUUGGAGGAUUGCCUGAGUCAAUAGGGAAUCUUGUAUCCUUGAAGUUUUUGGAUCUCUCCCAUUCCAACUUAUCAGGACCAAUUCCAAGAUCAUUGGGAAACCUCUUGCAACUCACUCAUUUAAACUUGGGACGGAACAAAUUGAGUGGACAAAUUCCAUUGUCAAUUCUAAACCUAACGCAGCUGGAAUACUUGAAAAUAGCUGGAAAUUCAUUAGAAGGUUCCAUUCCAGAUGAGGUAACCACUUUUCUUUAUCUAAUAUCUUUAGACUUAACAAACAAUUUACUGAAUGGAACACUUCCAUCAUGGUUGUAUUUUGCUCUCUCCUUAAAGACAAUAUAUCUCUCUCAAAAUCAAUUCAGUGGGAAUAUCAAAGAAUUCCAAUCCAAAUCACUAGAAUAUUUAUAUCUAAAAAAUAAUAAACUCCAAGGUCCUCUUCCAUCUUCAAUAUUCCAACUUCUCAAUCUUACCAAGCUGAUUUUAUCCUCAAAUAAUCUUACUGGUGUCAUAGAGUUUAGUCUCAAUAAUAUCUGCUUUCAAGACUUUGUCAGUAAAAGCUUACUUAUGUGGGCAUAAUAAUAUAAUGAAUUAAAACAUCAA